AGAUGUUAAAAGCAAGAGACAUGGGAGAUCAUCAUUCCCUUGAGAUUUUAUAACUCAAACCAACUUUGGAGUUGUCUGAUUUGGAGAGUCAUUAUUCUUGGUCUUCGCUCUUAGAGGCCACUGAUGAAGAACAGGCGGUGACUGGGAUGAAUGCUGGUCAGAGAGGAGAAUCUUCUUUCCCCUAAACAGCGGUGGUUUUAAAGGAGGACGCUGCCCUGGAUGAUGUAGAAGAUGUCACAUGCUGUGCUGAUGGGGUUUCUUCAUGAUUACAUCAGUUAUGCUAAAGAGAUCAUGAAAAUUGACCGUGAUGCAUGAUCUGUAUUCAUGGACAAUGAAACAAACUGUAAGUGUAUAAUUUGUUUAAAAAAAAAAAGUUAAAUGCUUUUUCUGUGUUGUUUAGUAGAAAAGUUUACACUCUGUCAUUCAUACACCUGCUCACAUUCUUUCACACACACACACACACACAUGCGUCUGUUAAAGGUUAUAAUAUCAAAGUUAAUGUUGUGAUUUAUUUGUGUACUGUCAUGCCAGAAUAGUUGGAAAAAAAACUAACUAAUUGUAAAUUUAUUGUAUGUGUUUUCGUAUAUUUUUAUACAAUUGAACAAAGUCCAAUUUGAUCUUAAGUUAUAUUCAUCAAAUGUUCAAUGCUUUGUUUAUGAACUCUG